CACCACCACCACGCAGUCCCUGUGAGCUGGACCCCAGGCCUGUCCUCCCACACGGCUUCCAGGUCUGCGGGCAGCUCCGGGGCUGCGGGUGCCCUCUGCCUGGAGGGGCUCCCAGGAUGCCCCUCGGAAGGGGGGCAUCUGCGCGGCUCCCAUGGCUCUUGCUGGCUGACACCUCCCUUUUUGCUCAGCCGCUCGAGCCUUGUGAAUGCCACUGCUGCCCUCACUGUCGCUGCUGCAAGAUUGUCCUUACAGGAGGGGGAGGAGCAGCAGAAGGAACUUCCCAGGCUUUUGCAUCUCCGGUCAUGGCCGUGACACAGCCCAGGAGAGCUGGAAUCCAGCCCAGCUUUUACCAAUAAUUCGCCAUGUGACCUUGAGCGUGCCCUCUAGGCUCCCUCGCCUUCCUAGAUCAUCUCUCAAGGCUAAUCAUGACCUCUCACUUAUUGCGUGCAUCCAUGGAUUGUUUCUUUUGUUCAUUCAUUCACAGCACUCAUUACUUCCUGGCAUAGUCUGUUUUUUAUUUGCUUGUUUAUUGCCUGCCUUGUGCCAUGCCAGCUCCCUGCCACCUACAAAGAGGGGCACAGGCACUCCUGUCUGGGAACAGAAGGUGGCACGCUCACAGGGAGUGAGCAAGUGACUUCAACGAAAGUGCCUUUUUCUAGAAGUGUAGACAGGUGAGGGGAACCAGCAAAAAAGGGGAAGUCCCCCAGGACUAGCAGCAGAGUGUGGUUGGGGGUGGGGGCCUGAGCAGCAAGGGGCAGGCAGCACAGGAGAGCUGUGGCCAAGCUGAGCUGCAGGCAGCCCCCAGCAGGCAGGAGCUGCAGGCCUGGGUGGAAAGAAUGUAGCCUCUGCCAGCCCCGGGCUCAGCAGGGGAGAGAGGGGAAGAAAUAGCCCAGUUCCUUCUCCUCCUGCCCUCCAUGGCCUGCUGCCUCAUUCCAUUGCCUGGGUCCCUCCAGAAUCAGACAGCAAGAGUGCUGGGAGGCACAGUCCUCAGAGGCCAGGCUCCUGGGGUGCAGAGAGCGGGGAGGAGGAGGGCUUGGCAGGUGAACACGACUGCUCAGCACGGCACCUGAGAAACACUUGCUGGGGCCUGGCUGGAGUACCGGAUCGUGUGCACUGUAGGUGCCCUUGGGACCCUGGGGCGGGUCUAUGAAACAAGGCCUCAGCGCUGCAGCCUUGGGUCAGGAGGAUCCCUCUUCCCGCUGCCUGGGGACCAACCCUCCACCUCCAAGGCCGGGGCAGUGAAAUGGAUCCGUGAUACCCACUGCAGCAGGGGACAAGGGAGUCUGUGGAAGGGAGGCGGAAGGUUUGGAGGAUUCGGAGCCUCUAGGUCCUGGGGCAUCUUAACCACAUUGGGGCACCUGGGUUCGAGUCACAGGCAUUGGCUGUGUGCUCUCGGGCCUGUUCCUAACACGUCUGAUCCUCGCUGUAAAACCGGGCUGGGAAUAAACAGGAGGAAGGAGGUUUGUGUUGAUUCCAGAGAAUCCGUGCAGAGAGCUCAGCACAGGGCCUGGGCACAAGGCAACCGCUUGCUUAUUCUAAUCGGAGAGGAGAUGGAGGGCCACCCCUCUCCCCAUUUCUCCCCCGCGGGGGAUCUCCACCCCCUCUCCAGCUCCAUUUAGUGCUGAGUGUUUCAGGUCAUUCCACGCCUGGCCAUCCGCCAGGGCUCUGACAAAGACAGCAGUCUCUGCUCAUUCAUCCUAAUGCAAGUUCCUGCGUUUAUGAUAAUAGGGGGAACGCAUGAAAGGGCUCGCUGGCUGCGGAGGGAAAUCGGCUUAGAAUUGAAAAUCCCAGUCCUUCCGCGGCUCGGCUCUCCCCUCCCAGGGCUUAGAAAGGAGGCGGGCUGGGAGGAGCCGAGAGGGGAGGAAGGGAUGCUGGUGGGAGAGCCGGCCAAAGAGGACCAAAGGGCAGGGCCUGUCUCGCCUGCUGAACGGGUCUGCGGCGGCUGGGGAAGCCGCCAGCCGGGCUCAGGGAACGGCCUAGGCCCCUGGAGGCGGGGUGAGCGGUUUCCAUGGCGACACCGGCUGGUCACUCAGCUCCGCGGGGAAGAGGGACCUGACGGUGGCCUCUGCCCGCCGCGUGCUGGGGGUCGCGCUUUGUCCUGCGGCGGAGCCCCCGGAAGCGCGCCCUGCGCCCAGCCCCGCGUGCCGUGGGGCGGCGGGCAGGGGCAGGGUCUCCGAGGCCCGUGGGCCUUCCGUGGGCAGCGGCAAGGCCGGAUGUGCGCGUGUUAACGAUGGCUGUGCCUGCAGAGGGGCGCGGAGGCGGCAGGCGAAGCUUCUGCCGGCAUCCCACACGCAGACGGCGCGGUCAGAGCCUGGGAAGAGGUGCCAGACCCGGCUGGCGCGUGGCUGAAGGAAGGAGUUCUGAAGUAGCACGGGGGUGGGCUCCCAGGGCUUCGGCGGGGAGCAAGGAGGUGGAGGCCGUACCCCAGGGCGGAAGAGGGGGCUUUGAAUGGGUCCUGGAGCCACCCUUGCUCGGUCCCUCCUCCCAGCUGCCCCCACCCGGAGCCUGUGAGGCCUGGGACCGUGGUGAGAUGCCCACGUUUGAUGGCUGAGUGUGUGAGGUGGGGCGAGCUGAACAAGGAGCAGAUGGGUGCCCUGCCCAGAGGCCUGCACACCUCCCGGGGUGCCUGCCCCCCCACCUGCCCCCCUCCCACAUCCGUACUGAGCUUGCUCACUGACAUGCAUGUUGUUUCUUUCAGUCAUCUUAGCAUUCAAGUCACUUUUCACAAAUAGAUUGCAGCGCUGGUUUUAUUUUUUAAAGAUUAGUUUUCUUCAUUUGAAAGGCAGUGUGCCAAAGAGAGAAAGAGAGAGAGAGAGAGAGAGAGAGAUCCCACACUUCCAUCUGCUGGAUCACUCCCCUAAUGGUUGCAAAAACCAGGACUGGGCCAGGCCAAAGUCAGGAGCCUGGAACUCCAUCUGGGUCUCACAGGUGGGUGCCGGGGCCCUAGCACUCGGGCCAUCGUGGCUGCUUUCCCAGGCGCAUUAGCACGGAGCUGGGUAGGAAGCAGAGCAGCCGAGACUGGAAGUGGUGUUCAAAUAGCGGAUGUUGGUGUUGCACAGGGCAACUUCGCCCCUGCGCCACCAUGCCAGCCCCUGCUGUUUCGUUUUUACUCACCGCAGAGUGCCUUUUACAAGCCAUGUGACAGUGGAGGCCGUUCUGUCUACUUGUGCGUGCCUGGUUUGCAGCUAUCCUGUGCUGCAGGUGCGCAGGUCCAGCAGGAGGGCUGACUUCUAACCCCCCUGCAGCCUGCACAGGGCUAGGGUGUUGUUUAUCAUUGCAAAAAUACUCCUGAGUGUCUCCGGGUGCCAAGCCCUAUGUGGAAUGCAGCAGGUGGAGCAGUGCGUGGGAGAGCCAGGGUCUCCAUUCUCAGAGCCUGGGGAGCGGCCUCAGCCCGGGCAGCGGCGUGGUCCUGAAUCCUCUCGUUCCUUGGCAAGCCUGCGGGGCCUUUUCUGCAGAGAGGGGAGCAGAAGCAGACAGCGAGAGGCGCAGCUCCAGCCCGCAGGGAGAGCUUGCCAGUGACCAGAGCUUUCUCACGGGGAUGAGCAGGUGCCGGGGCGCCCUGGCGGGGACGCUGAGCUCUCUCUGUGUGACCGCGCCCUUUUCUUCUUGCUUCUCUGCAUCUCAGGAGGACAGCAGCUGCCUCCCAUGCCCUGCACCCAAACCCCUCUGCUGGCUGGAGACAGUAGCUAAGUCCCAUCUAAGCCUUCCCUGCUUGCUCCGGGUUUAGCAGUCUGGAUGCUUGCUUUGCCGCCUGUGGCCAGGGGAAGCGCAAACCUCGGCGUGGGUGGAGCCGUGGGGAUCAGGCUGAUGCUGUGCGGCCUGGCUGAGGCCUCUUGGCUUUUCAGGAAAGGGUGUCCUGCUGUCUCCCGGCCUCCUGGAGCUGGGCAUGGUCCCUCGGAGCUUCUGUGCUCCCUGGCUGGACUCCUGCAGGGAGACCCGAGGGUGUCGUGGGUGAGGAGCACCUGUCUCCGCAGCCCUGUCCCACAAGAUGGGCAGGACUCUGCCUCUGCUGUCCUCGCAGAAAGGGGCCUGCCGGCGGCACAGGCUGUCCAGUCCCAACCGUGGAGAGCCUCUGUUUCCAUCUCUAGAAGGUGGGAACGUGACAACACAUCCCUUCCAUGAGAACAGAGUAACACCACGGACAGACAGCCCAGCAGGGUUCUGGCACACAAGGGGCGCUUGAAGCAGUUUUGUCCUGGGGGCCGGCCUGGUGGAGCAGCGGCUCAAGCGGCCGCUGGAGACACCAGCAUCCAAUUGGGCCUUGCCGGUUCCCGUCCUGGCUGCUCUGCUUCCAAUCCGGCUCCCUGCUAAUGCGCCUCUGCCACCUACGUGGGUGACCCUGAUGGGGCUGCAGGCCCCUGGCUUCGCCGGCCCAGCCGCAGCUGUUGCAGUAUUUGGGGCGUGAACCAGCGGAUGGAAGCUCUCGUGUGCCCUCUCUCUCCAUCACUCUUUCGAAUAAAUAAAAGAAAUCUUCAAAAAGGA